rnacentral:rRNA from 1 species
GACGAACGCUGGCGGCGUGCUUAACACAUGCAAGUCGAACGGAAAGGCACUGCUAUUGUGGGGUGCUUGAGUGGCGAACGGGUGAGUAACACGUGAGUAACCUGCCCUUGACUUUGGGAUAACUUCAGGAAACUGGGGCUAAUCCCGGAUAGGAGCUCCUGCAGCAUGGUGGGGGUUGGAAAGUUUCGGCGGUUGGGGAUGGACUCGCGGCUUAUCAGCUUGCUGGUGGGGUAGUGGCUUACCAAGGCUUUGACGGGUAGCCGGCCUGUGAGGGUGGCCGGCCACAUUGGGACUGAGAUACGGCGCAGACUCCUACGGGAGGCAGCAGUGGGGAGUAUUGCACAAUGGGCGGGAGCCUGAUGCAGCGACGCCGCGUGCGGGAUGACGGCCUUCGGGUUGUAAACCGCUUUCGCCUGUGACGAAGCGUGAGUGACGGUAAUGGGUAAAGAAGCACCGGCUAACUACGUG